rnacentral:tRNA from 1 species
GCGGGUGUUGCUUAAUGGUAGAGCCUUGGCCUUCCAAGCCAAUGAUACGGGUUCGAUUCCCGUCGCCCGCU